GGGGAUGUAGCUCAGUUAGUAGAGUGCUUGCCUAGCAUGCAUGAAGCCCUGGGUUCAAGCCCUACUCUUUCA
rnacentral:tRNA from 1 species